rnacentral:ncRNA from 1 species
GGCCACCUUAGGGGGGCUUCACCAUAGGCAGAGUAAAACUUUGCCGUACAAGCAAACGGAAGACAGAAA